rnacentral:rRNA from 1 species
AACGAACGCUGGCGGCAUGCCUAACACAUGCAAGUCGAACGAGACCUUCGGGUCUAUUGGCGCACGGGUGCGUAACGCGUGGGAACCUGCCUUUAGGUUCGGAAUAACUCAGAGAAAUUUGAGCUAAUACCGGAUGAUGUCUUCGGACCAAAGAUUUAUCGCCUUUAGAUGGGCCCGCGUUGGAUUAGCUAGUUGGUGGGGUAAAGGCCUACCAAGGCGACGAUCCAUAGCUGGUCUGAGAGGAUGAUCAGCCACACUGGGACUGAGACACGGCCCAGACUCCUACGGGAGGCAGCAGUGGGGAAUAUUGGACAAUGGGCGAAAGCCUGAUAAAGCAAUGCCGCGUGAGUGAUGAAGGCCUUAGGGUUGUAAAGCUCUUUUACCCGAGAUGAUAAUGACAGUAGCGGGAGAAUAAGCUCCGGCUAACUACGUG